GCCAUGAGGACUAUAGUUUGUACGUAAUUCUAGGAGAGAAGAAGAACGUGGAGGAGAAGGAUCUUGAGAAUAAGGCUUUAGCGAUUGGCUCCCCAUGCCCAGUGCUACUCCUCGGAUUGGCUGCGCACCAACUCCAUCGAUUACUGUGAAUGAAACCGAGCACUGCAGAACAUACACAGAUUUACAGGACCCUGAACUGAGCAGAAAGUUACCCAACAUUCUUUAAUUGGACUGAGGAGAAAGUUACCUAAUAUUCUGGAAUUGGACUGAGGAGAAAGUUACCUAAUAUUCUGGAAUUGGACUGAGGAGAAAGUUACCCAAUAUUCUGGAAUUUUACCUUUUUAAAGAAUCAAAUGGACACAGCAUGAGAUUCUCCACCACUGACUUUCUAUACUAUAGUUGGAGAAACUCAUAGUGAAUCCUGAAUCCUAACUUGUGAAAGAAGCCCACAACUUGAAUUCAUAAACAUCUCCCAUAAUAAUAUUUGUGUUGUAUGCACGUCUCAAGUUGUAAGAUGUGUCCCUUAGAGUAAUAAUAGCACAAAGCCAAUAUACCCCACGUAUUCCAUCUUGUUUUGGCUUUAUACAAACUAAAUAUGUAUAUUAUACAUGCUGUUUAUCUUUUAAUACAUCUUUUCCAAGUAUGUUUUGUUUCUGUUCGAUAUUCUGUUAUGAAAAUAUAAUGCUUUCUACA